rnacentral:rRNA from 1 species
CCUACGGGAGGCAGCAGUGAGGAAUAUUGGUCAAUGGCCGGAAGGCUGAACCAGCCAUGCCGCGUGAAGGUCAGUGCCCUAUGGGCGUUAAACUUCUUUUGUGCGGGAGCAAUAAUGUUCACGUGUGGCCCGCCGAGAUUACCGUUCGACUCAGGAUCGGCUAACUCCGUGCCAGCAGCCGCGGUAAUACGGAGGAUCCGGGCGUUAUCCGGAUUUAUUGGGUUUAAAGGGAGCGUAGAUGGGUUGUUAAGUCAGUUGUGAAAGUUUGCGGCUCAACCGUAAAAUUGCAACUGAUACUGGCAGGCUUGAGUACAGUUGAGGUAGGCAGAAUUCGUGGUGUAGCGGUGAAAUGCGUAGAGAUCACGAAGAACUCCGAUUGCGAAGGCAGCUUACUAAACUGAGACUGACAUUGAUGCUCGAAAGUGUGGGUAUCAAACAGGAUUAGAUACCCGGGUAGUC